CAAGGGCUUGGACCUGAACCCCGGGUUUAAACCUGAACCCAGGGGUUUAGACCCAAGGGCUUGGACCUGAACCCCGGGUUCAGGUCUGAACCCAGGGUUUAGACCCAAGGGCUUGGACCUGAACCUCGGGUUUAAACCUGAACCCAGGGUUUAGACCCAAGGGCUUAGACCUGAACCAAGGGUUUCAGACCCAAGGGCUUUGACCUGAACCCCGGGUUUAAACCUGAACCCAGGGUUUAGAUCUGAACCCCAAGGCUUAGACCCCAGGGCUUAGACCCCAGGGUUUAGACCUGAAUCCAGGGUUUAGAUCCCAGGGCUUAGACCUGAACCCCAGGUUAAGACCUGAACCCAGGGUAUAGACCUGAACCCAGGGUUUAGACCCCAGGGUUAAGACCUGAACCCCAGGGUUAGGACCCCAGGGUUUAGACCUGAACCCCAGGGUUUAGACCUGAAGAUCAAGAUCUAGAAACACAAAUGUUGAACGUGUUGAAAACCGAUUCAGCCAUUAUUCAAAGAAGAAAAAAAACUCAACAAAUCUGUGCCUAAAUGAUUUAUAUUUGUUUAUAGAAUACACGGUGGUUGUAUAUUUAAGGUAUUCUGUAAAUAUAAUAUAUAAAUAUUAUAAAUAUAUUUAUCUGGAUAAUUUGGUUAUCAGGACAGUGUUUCCAUGGCUCAGACGUGCUGGGGAUGUUAAUGCCGGUUUUCUUUUGUAUCGUGUACUAAUAUGCUGUCAUGUAUCGAGUCCUCGAACUGUAUAUACUUUUUCCAUCAAAUGGCUUAAAAUGCAAUGCCGCGCCCACCCCUAACCCUAACCCCGCCCUGAGAUUAAAGAGCAGAUGCGCUCUGAGCUGACGGUGCUGCUGGAGUCGUUGUGUCUCUGUUCUCCAUCAGGUGCCCACCUUCAGCCAACCAAUCACAGAGCAGGGUUACGCUACGGUCUGCGUCCCAUUGGGUCGCUGAAUGUAAACUUGUGUUCUUAUAAAGACUCUUCUCAUCCAUAGAACCAGAGUGGCAGUGUUUUAGGGCGGCCGAUUCAUUCAUGUAAUCACAAUUGUCCAAUAAAAAAUUGCUAAUGGAA
ensembl:lncRNA